ACGCCGGUGACCGCGGAAGCAAAGCUUGGCAUGUUGCAUCCCGGGGAGGGAUGCUCUGGCCAGGUACCCCCGGAUGCUCCGGCCGCGUACCCCUGGAUGCUCCACCCGUGUACCCUCGGAUGCUCCAGCUGGGUACCCCCGGAUGCUCCAGCCAGGUACCCCUGGAUGCUCCGCCCGGGUACCCCCUCGCUGCUUCUCCAUCAUGGGAGGCAACUCACCAAAACCAACAGGGAAUUUGCCCCGUGCCCCACACUGUGGAAAACUACGGGAUAUUCCGCAGGGCCAGGGUUACCUUGGUGGGCCGGGAUCCAGCCGAGCUCCGAGCCUCCGGGCAUCCAGCGGCUGCGCUGGGGGGCUGGCAGGGGGUGAGUCACUUCCCCAGUGCGCGGGAUCCAUCCGGAUCACCAUGUGUUUUUUAAAGUGACGCAGGGGUUGUGAAAAAACCACCCACCCAUCAUCUUCCUCAUUCCUGCUCCCAGGCCAAGUCGCUCAAGAGCUGUUCCCACACGGAGCCCUCCCCGCCCCCCGGGGCGCAGGCGGCUGCUGGGGAUGCUCGGCGGUGCCUUCAUGGCCCCCCAGUCCCAGUCCCAGUCCCAAUCCCAGUUCCUGUGCCCAUUCCCAGGGGAUGGAGGAUGGGUUGAGCAAACCGGCCCUGCCGCCCGCUCGUCCCCAUUUCUCCUCCGUCACCCCAGGUCCCCCCGGAGCGUUUGCUCUCCCCUGCCCCCUGCUCAGCUUUCCCGAUGGAUUUUCCUCCUUCUGCCUCUCGCUGCAGGACGAUCCGGACUUUUCCCUUCCCACCCACCUGGAACCCAGCUGGGAAACACCCGGCUGAGGACCCGCAUUCCGGCUUCUCCCCGAAACCCGCCGCGCUUGGGCAUCUCCCACCGCACAACUCCGUUACCUCUGGGUGCAAAUCCCACGCAGCCCAACCCCCGCCCCCCCCUGCCGACCUCCCGGGAAAGGGCGGAUUUUCCGGGGGUCCCCAAGAGCCCCGUGUGUGUCUGUGUGUCCCCCCAGCUCCUACCUGCGCCCGCCGUGCCGGGGCUCACGGUGCCGGCACCAUGUGCGGCUCCCAGUCUCGCCCAGGCGAAGGCGUUGCCUUUUUCCUGCCUCACCUUUCCAGUCCAGCUGCAACGGCGAUAAAAAUCCAGGAAUUCCUUCCCCGGGAUCCCUCCCCCGGGAUCCCACCGGCUUGUGUGAAGCCAGCCCAGCACCGGGCACCAGCACGGCGACAGGCUUUUGCUUUGAUAUAAGGGAAUUUUGCAGCGUGGUGUGGGGGUAAAAUUGGGGUUUGUUUGGGGUUUUUUUGUUGUUUUUUUUUUUUUUUUUCCGCAUGGCAGUGCAUUUUCUGGGAGCUGGAGAAACCGGCUUGACA